GUGGGCCUCCUCUGCUUUCCAGCUGACAGAGGAUCUGUUUAUGUGAAUCCAGACCUACAGCUAUGGUCAGAGCUGAAAAUGAACUUGGAGCACAGAGGAGGCAUUAUAGAAGGAAAAAACAGCCAUUAGGGCAAUCCUCAAGCUGACACAAAGUUGCUUCUCUGGGUGCUCCUAGAUCUUAAGCUACAAAUCAACUACUACAAACGAUAACUCUCUGAUUACCAUUCCACGGCUGGCAUCCUCAAGGCUCCCCCUUACCCUCUGCCUGCAUCAAAACCUCCGCUCCUCACUACACCAUCACCCUCCUUUUACCAUCUAAGCCACCAGUUGGACCUCUUCCCUGGAUUCCUCUCAUUCGCCCUGGUGUUCAUCCUCUGCAUCAAUCAUGAUGCUGCUGCUCUGUGUUCAGAAAGAACCCUGCUGGACCAAGAUCUCCUUCAUAUUCAUCAUCAUUGUAUUUAAUAAAUCUUUAAACCUUUC